rnacentral:ncRNA from 1 species
CUUGUGGACUGUCACAUCAAAUGAGAGUAGACUUUUCAGUAAUCUAGUCAAAAUCAGGCAGGAAGAAGCAAGAA